CCCCUCUCAGGAUUGUGCCUGGAGAGUUUCCAGUAUUCUACAAGUCUCCACUAUGGGAGGGAAACCCAAGCAGAGGCAUAUCCAUUCCAUUCCUAGCUUGGGCAGUGGCUAGCGAAUGGAAGGCAAUCUGCUAUGUUG